UUACUUCGGUUACAUCGGUGACAGGUGGUGCAUGGUUGUCGUCAGCUCGUGUCGUGAGAUGUUGGGUUAAGUCCCGCAACGAGCGCAACCCCUAUUGUUACGUUGCCAUCAUUCAGUUUGGGCACUCUAGCGAGACUGCCGGUAAUAACCGGAGGAAGGUGGGGAUGACGUCAAAUCAUCAUGCCCCUUAUGACCUGGGCUACACACGUGCUACAAUGGUUGGUACAACGAGUUGCGAGUCGGUGACGGCGAGCUAAUCUCUUAAAAGCCAAUCUCAGUUCGGAUUGUAGGCUGCAACUCGCCUACAUGAAGUCGGAAUCGCUAGUAAUCGCGGAUCAGCACGCCGCGGUGAAUACGUUCCCGGGCCUU
rnacentral:rRNA from 1 species